rnacentral:rRNA from 1 species
AUGAACGCUAGCUACAGGCUUAACACAUGCAAGUCGAGGGGCAGCAUGAACUUAGCUUGCUAAGUUUGAUGGCGACCGGCGCACGGGUGAGUAACACGUAUCCAACCUGCCGAUGACUCGGGGAUAGCCUUUCGAAAGAAAGAUUAAUACCCGAUGGCAUAGUUCUUCCGCAUGGUAGAACUAUUAAAGAAUUUCGGUCAUCGAUGGGGAUGCGUUCCAUUAGGUUGUUGGCGGGGUAACGGCCCACCAAGCCUUCGAUGGAUAGGGGUUCUGAGAGGAAGGUCCCCCACAUUGGAACUGAGACACGGUCCAAACUCCUACGGGAGGCAGCAGUGAGGAAUAUUGGUCAAUGGACGAGAGUCUGAACCAGCCAAGUAGCGUGAAGGAUGACUGCCCUAUGGGUUGUAAACUUCUUUUAUACGGGAAUAAAGUGAGGCACGUGUGCCUUUUUGUAUGUACCGUAUGAAUAAGGAUCGGCUAACUCCGUGCCAGCAGCCGCGGUAAUACGGAGGAUCCGAGCGUUAUCCGGAUUUAUUGGGUUUAAAGGGAGCGUAGGCGGACGCUUAAGUCAGUUGUGAAAGUUUGCGGCUCAACCGUAAAAUUGCAGUUGAUACUGGGUGUCUUGAGUACAGUAGAGGCAGGCGGAAUUCGUGGUGUAGCGGUGAAAUGCUUAGAUAUCACGAAGAACUCCGAUUGCGAAGGCAGCUUGCUGGACUGUAACUGACGCUGAUGCUCGAAAGUGUGGGUAUCAAACAGGAUUAGAUACCCUGGUAGUCCACACAGUAAACGAUGAAUACUCGCUGUUUGCGAUAUACAGUAAGCGGCCAAGCGAAAGCGUUAAGUAUUCCACCUGGGGAGUACGCCGGCAACGGUGAAACUCAAAGGAAUUGACGGGGGCCCGCACAAGCGGUGGAGCAUGUGGUUUAAUUCGAAGCAACGCGAAGAACCUUACCAGGUCUUGACAUCCUUUGACCACUCUAGAGAUAGAGCUUUCCCUUCGGGGACAAAGUGACAGGUGGUGCAUGGUUGUCGUCAGCUCGUGUCGUGAGAUGUUGGGUUAAGUCCCGCAACGAGCGCAACCCUUAUUGUUAGUUGCCAUCAUUUAGUUGGGCACUCUAGCGAGACUGCCGGUGACAAACCGGAGGAAGGUGGGGAUGACGUCAAAUCAGCACGGCCCUUACGUCCGGGGCUACACACGUGUUACAAUGGGGGGUACAGAAGGCAGCUACACGGCGACGUGAUGCUAAUCCCAAAAGCCUCUCUCAGUUCGGAUUGGAGUCUGCAACCCGACUCCAUGAAGCUGGAUUCGCUAGUAAUCGCGCAUCAGCCACGGCGCGGUGAAUACGUUCCCGGGCCUUGUACACACCGCCCGUCAAGCCAUGAAAGCCGGGGGUACCUGAAGUGCGUAACCGCAAGGAGCGCCCUAGGGUAAAACUGGUGAUUGGGGCU